UACGUAGGGGGCUAGCGUUGUCCGGAAUCAUUGGGCGUAAAGCGCGCGUAGGCGGCCAGAUAAGUCCGGUGUGAAAGUCAAAGGCUCAACCUUUGAAUGCCGCUGGAAACUGUCUGGCUUGAGUCCGGGAGGGGCGAGUGGAAUUCCUGGUGUAGCGGUGAAAUGCGCAGAUAUCAGGAGGAACACCAUGGCGAAGGCAGCUCGCUGGAACGGUACUGACGC
rnacentral:rRNA from 1 species